rnacentral:sRNA from 1 species
GUGAAGCCAUCCCAGACAGACAGGCACAACAGGAGGCAGCCAUGUUCGUCGAUACAGUGGUUCUCGCCGGAGUCGGCACCGUACUUCUGAUGAUCGCCUUUUGUGGGGGCGUUGGUUACUUCAUCUGGAAGGAUGCGCACAAGCGCAAGCAGAGCUGAUCCUUCCAGCUCACAGGGCACGCAAGGCAAUUUGGGCGACUUCGGUCGCCCUUUUUUUGU